AUGUCUUCACCGCCGCCCACCCCGUCGCUUCCGCCGCCGACCGUCACCACCGCGCCGCUGGCCAUCUACACCGCGCCGCCACCCUCCCUGUCCGCGCCGCUGGUCGCAUCCUUCGCCGCCGCCACCCCUCAGAUGCCGGCGCCCUCCAUCGCACCAGCCGCUGGCUACACCUCGGAGGAGAUCACCGGGGUCCUCAACGACCUCGUCACAGCCGUCCAAGGGAUCCGGCUGUACCUGGCCAGCCGCUACGGGCCGCCGCCGGCCCUGCCGUGGUACUCGCCGCAUCCAGGGGCCUCCGCGGCUUUCGCUGGGAUGUUGCAGCCCCAGCUGCAGCUGCCGCCGCUGCCCGCUGCCGCACCGCGGUGGCCGUAG
rnacentral:rRNA from 1 species